UUUUUUUUUUUCAAGCAGAAGACGGCAUACGAGAUUUCGCGGAGUGACUGGAGUUCAGACGUGUGCUCUUCCGAUCUGUUUCCCAGUCACGAUAUGUUGCGGAGAUAUCACAAGUGAGAAUGCCGACAUGAGUAACGAUAAAACAAGUGAGAAACUUGUUCGCCGAAAAUCCAAGGUUUCCUGCUUAAAGUUAAUCUGAGCAGGGUUAGUCGAUACCUAAGGCGAGGCCGAAAGGCGUAGCCGAUGGAAAUUGGGUUAAUAUUCCCAAACCGAGUGGUGAGUGACGGAGCGUACUUUUCUGUAUCUUCUUAAUGGAUUGAAGGUGCAGCGAAGUUGCUUCCAGGAAAUAGCCCCACGUUAAGAUCGUACCAAAACCGACACAGGUGGAUGGGUUGAAGAUACCAAGGCGCUUGAGAGAACUACACUGAAGGAACUAGGCAAAAUGCAUCCGUAACUUCGGGAAAAGGAUGGCCUGCUAUGGCGCAAGCUAUGACAGGUGGCACAGAAAUGGGGGUAGCGACUGUUUACCAAAAACACAGGGCUCUGCUAAAUCAUUAAGAUGAUGUAUAGGGUCUGACGCCUGCCCGGUGCUGGAAGGUCAAUUGAUGGUGUGCAAGCACCUGAUCGAAGCCCCAGUAAACGGCGGCCGUAACUAUGACGGUCCUAAGGUAGCGAAAUUCCUUGUCGGGUAAGUUCCGACCCGCACGAAUGGCGUAACGACUUCCCCUCUGUCUCCAGUGUAGACUCAGUGAAAUUGAAUUUGCCGUUAAGAUGCGGUAUUCCUGCGGUUAGACGGAAAGACCCCGUGCACCUUUACUAUAACUUUACACUGAAUUCAAAAAUACGAUGUGUAGGAUAGGUGGUAGACUUUGAAGCUUGCUCGCUAGGGCAGGUGGAGUCGUCCUUGAAAUACCACUCUUCUUAUUUUUGGCUUCUAACUAGAGCGGCUAUAUCGUCGCUUAGGACACUGUAUGGUGGGUAGUUUGACUGGGGCGGUCGCCUCCCAAAGUGUAAAAAGGCUGGAUUUUGAUCCCCUCCAAUGUCUUGGAAGUCAAGACCUGAUCAAAGUCUUUACCCUUCAGGUCCUGAACGGCCUGAAGUAUCCAUUCUUCCUUGAAACGGCUGAAAAUUCUUCGAAUAAAUUGUUUUUCAUCUUGGGUUUAGAUUCCGUAAAAAAACAGACAGUUUACCCGAUAGGCAUUUUUCAAGGGAUUUUCCACAGAUUAAGCCUAUCUUUGGUUUCCAAAAAUAAGACGUAGAACUUUCAAAAACGACAAAAUCCAAGGAUUUCCCAUGACCAAAACGCUGCAUGUCUCCAGGAUAUUGGUAUUAUUGGCCCUAGCAUUUUCUUUCAGCUAUUGCCAAAGGCCCCUGUACAAAAACCUAGCCCAAGGAAGCUUCAUAGCUGUGGACGAAGAAAGCCCCUUGGACUCCGCGCUGUACGCUUUUGUUAACCCUUUCAAAGUUCAACUAGAAGCC
rnacentral:rRNA from 1 species